rnacentral:rRNA from 1 species
UAGGGAAUCUUCCGCAAUGGACGCAAGUCUGACGGAGCAACGCCGCGUGAGUGAAGAAGGAUUUCGGUUCGUAAAACUCUGUUGUUAGAGAAGAACAGCGCAUAGAGUAACUGUUAUGCGUGUGACGGUAUCUAACCAGAAAGCCACGGCUAACUACGUGCCAGCAGCCGCGGUAAUACGUAGGUGGCAAGCGUUGUCCGGAUUUAUUGGGCGUAAAGCGAGCGCAGGCGGUCAAUUAAGUCUGAUGUGAAGGCCCCCGGCUCAACCGGGGAGGGUCAUUGGAAACUGGUUGACUUGAGUGCAGAAGAGGAGAGUGGAAUUCCAUGUGUAGCGGUGAAAUGCGUAGAUAUAUGGAGGGACACCAGUGGCGAAGGCGACUCUCUGGUCUGUAACUGACGCUGAGGUUCGAAAGCGUGGGUAGCAAACAGG